GAUGAACGCUGGCGGCGUGCCUAAUACAUGCAAGUCGAGCGAACGGACGAGAAGCUUGCUUCUCUGAUGUUAGCGGCGGACGGGUGAGUAACACGUGGAUAACCUACCUAUAAGACUGGGAUAACUUCGGGAAACCGGAGCUAAUACCGGAUAAUAUUUUGAACCGCAUGGUUCAAAAGUGAAAGACGUUCUUGCUGUCACUUAUAGAUGGAUCCGCGCUGCAUUAGCUAGUUGGUAAGGUAACGGCUUACCAAGGCAACGAUGAAUAGCCGACCUGAGAGGGUGAUCGGCCACACUGGAACUGAGACACGGUCCAGACUCCUACGGGAGGCAGCAGUAGGGAAUCUUGCGCAAUGGGCGAAAGCCUGACGGAGCAACGCCGCGUGAGUGAUGAAGGUCUUCGGAUCGUAAAACUCUGUUAUUAGGGAAGAACAUAUGUGUAAGUAACUGUGCACAUCUUGACGGUACCUAAUCAGAAAGCCACGGCUAACUACGUG
rnacentral:rRNA from 1 species